rnacentral:rRNA from 1 species
AGAGUUUGAUCCUGGCUCAGAUUGAACGCUGGCGGCAGGCCUAACACAUGCAAGUCGAGCGGUAGAGAGAAGCUUGCUUCUCUUGAGAGCGGCGGACGGGUGAGUAAUGCCUAGGAAUCUGCCUGGUAGUGGGGGAUAACGCUCGGAAACGGACGCUAAUACCGCAUACGUCCUACGGGAGAAAGCAGGGGACCUUCGGGCCUUGCGCUAUCAGAUGGAGCCUAGGUCGGAUUAGCUAGUUGGUGAGGUAAUGGCUCACCAAGGCGACGAUCCGUAACUGGUCUGAGAGGAUGAUCAGUCACACUGGAACUGAGACACGGUCCAGACUCCUACGGGAGGCAGCAGUGGGGAAUAUUGGACAAUGGGCGAAAGCCUGAUCCAGCCAUGCCGCGUGUGUGAAGAAGGUCUUCGGAUUGUAAAGCACUUUAAGUUGGGAGGAAGGGCAGUUACCUAAUACGG